rnacentral:rRNA from 1 species
AUGGAUCAGGAGCUGAUCGAGCACCUCGAGGCCAAAGUGAGUGCUGACAGCGCGAGAUCUCACCCUCUCAUCGAUUUGUUCAUACCAACCAUUGACAGCGAGCACGGCAUAUGCUACACCCAACCUGAGAAACUUCCAGGUAUCACACAAAGUGGCCUAAGGAAGCAUAUCUUCCAGUGCAAUUCCAGGGCUUUCAAAAGGGGCACCUGGACACGUCGCAAGAUACAGUCGGAGUGCGGCAUGCACGCGAUGUGGCACAAGACCGGCAAUACCUUGCCGGUGAUGACGGGCAGCAAAAAGGUUCUGGUGCUGCACAUCAACAAGAACUUCGACCAGCAUAGGACCAACUGGGUGAUGCACCAGUACCACCUCGGGGACCUGGAGCAAGAGAAGGAGCGGGAGCUGUUGUACUACCUUGUCGUCCGCAAGUUGGUAUUGUUGUUAACGAUCUUUUGGUCGAGCAAGUUUCAACUGGGCUGUAGACUGCCCAGGCUUGGUUUUCUUUUUAACAGGCCCACCAUGACGACAACGGGGUACAAAGAUCCAGCAGGUAUCUACUGGCCUCUGGCCCGCGAGCGUUAG